UUUUGUGUGAUUAUUUGCUUGAAAAGAAAACUAAAGCCAUGAAAAGAGAAAAUCAGGCAUCCUUUCUCUCUUUGCUUGAUAUCAAAGGGUUAAAGCCACACCAGGUUCUUGAAAACAGUUACUUCCAAGUCAGCAUCUGGCUACUUCUGUGGUUAGUGGGAAGGAUUUUGCUUUUUAAUAGCAUUAUAAAUAGGGCUGUGUUCAACAUGCUGCAGACUUACUUUCUCUUUCAUUCAACCUUCUCCCUCCUCCUGCAUGUCUACCACAGCUCUGUAGGCAUGGACCCAUCAAACGUCUUGCUCAAAUUCAUCGCCUUGCUUACAUGCCUUCUUCCUGUUCUUCAGGCCUGUCCUCAGAAUUGUCACUGUCACGGAGGAGACCUCCACCAUGUCAUUUGUGACAACGUUGGAUUGAGAAGGAUUCCCAAAGUAGCUGAGCAAACCCGGCUUCUCAAUCUGCAGAGGAACAAUUUCCCUGUGCUGCCAACCAACGGUUUCAGAGAGAUGAAAAAUCUUGUCUCUCUUCACCUCCAACAUUCCCACAUCAAAGAAAUCUCCAGUGGAGCUUUCCGCGGCCUGAAGCAGCUGGUCUACCUUUACUUGUCAAAUAAUGACAUCAGUACCAUAAAGAUUGGAGCCUUUGAUGACCUGAGAGAACUUACUUACCUCUACCUAGAUCAUAACAAGAUAUCUGACCUGCCCAAGGGGCUCCUCUCUCCACUGAUUAAUCUUUUCAUCCUGCAGCUAGGUAAUAAUAAGCUCCGAGAGCUGAGAACAGGAGCCUUCCAUGGUACUAAGAAUCUUCGCUGGCUCUAUUUCUCUAAUAACUCAAUCUCCUCCAUCCAACCUGGGGCCUUGGAAGAUGUGGAAAACCUAGCCAUAUUCCACUUGGAUAAGAACCAGCUAAGCAGCUACCCUGUGGCUGCCAUGAGCAAAUUAAGGGUGGUGGAAGACCUGAAGCUCUCAAACAACCCAAUGAAGUCCAUUCCAGAUUUAGCCUUUCAAUCUUUUGGACGAUACAUGGAGACUCUCAGCUUGGACAACAUGGGAUUAGAAAAGUUUUCAGAAAAAGCAUUCAUUGGGACAACUGCACUGAAGAAUGUUCAUAUAGAGCACAACAAAAUUUCCAGUCUUCCUAGGAGCUUUCCAUUCACCCGUCUUCAGAUACUGUCCCUGUCCAACAACCCUUGGCAUUGUUCUUGUCAGUUAGCACCUUUGCGCAGGUGGCUGGGAUCUACUCGUACUCGCCCAGAUGCAGUCUGUGCAUCACCUCCUCAGACUCGAGGACAGCAGAUUCGAGACACUGCUGCGCUCCGUAGCUGCAAACUUCCCUCUAAGAGAUCCAAAAAAGGAAAUCGCCAUUAAGCAGGCAAUCCAGUUUUUCCAGAAUUUUCAGUUAAAUAUCUGCCAACCCUUAGAGGUGGUCUAGGCAAGAAGUGCCGACUAUGACUAACACUAUCUUAUUGUAAGAUUAAAGUACAAAUCUUGUAAAUCUAAAGGUAUAUUCCCCCCGCCCAUCUUUACAGUCCAAGAAACUAGGGAGGGUCCCUUCUGAGAUAUUUUCCCUGCCUUAUUUCUUCUGUGGGCUAAGCUGUCUCUUAUCUGAUUGUUAACUAAUCUCCUGUUCAUCCUCCUUUUCCUCUUCUUUCUCCUAUCUCUCAAAAGCAUUCUCACAGACCAUUUCAAUACCUCCCCCCUUUUAGAAUGCCAAUGUAAUUUUACUUAAGUAUAGGACAGUGGUGAAAUCUGAACCGGUUUACUAGCGGUUCACUGGCUGGGCAUGUGCAGUACACAUCAAACACGUGCUGAGCGACGCAUGCACAGUACGCAUCGGAAGAAGAUCUCUUUUUCCCAUGAAAAGGAUCCAGAAAAGUAACUCCAGAUAACUCUACACGUCAAUCAACCAACCAGAAAAGUACUGACCAGAAGUCCUUCAUCCUAAAAAAACUCCUUUCUAUUGGAAACAGUAAAUCUCAAACAUAUCUAUUUCCUGCAGCAGGCAAAUUUCAGGUAGACUUUACCAUACAGUCUCCUUGCCCCCGCUUCCCAUAUUAUAAAUAUUAUUUUAAAUUAUACUUUUUAGAAACAUAAACCUAUGCAUGACAGAGCUACAGCAAGCCAAAUGAGAUAUUGCCUAUAAAAUAGUCAUCUUUCUUGCUGUCAUUCAGCCAGCCAUUUGAUUUCCAGGAUUUGCCUUCCAAAAGCCAAGUAAUGAACAGAAAGCAUAAAAAAUCUCCUUACAUGUUAGAACACGUUAGUAUUCUAACUGAAAGAAUUGAAUUAUUUUAUUUUAUUUUAUUUCUAGAGAUUGUCAGAAGGCGAUGAGAGUGUGCUAAAUGAGAUAAAUGGAACCCAGAUGGCAGUGUAAAAUUUAUUUGCAGAAGCAUUUUAUACUAUGGGGAAAAUAUAAUUCAAAAGUUAGGUCUCUGAGCUCAGGAAAGCCAAGCAUUGUGUUU